CCCCCGAUAGCUCAGUUGGAAGAGCGCGAGACUGUAAUGGAUAAGAUCAUCUUGAGGUCGCUGGUUCGAUCCCGGCUCGGGGGA
rnacentral:tRNA from 3 species